CUUUAUGACUCUAUAACUUCUAU
rnacentral:snRNA from 1 species